UUGAAAAAAAACGGCGGCAAAAAUGUCCUAAAUGCUCCUAAUCUAGUGAAAAAAUUAGCAUUAUAAAAAAUUAUACCAAAACCACAAAUACCCCAUAAUUGACUGAAACUCUCCAACAACCAAUGAUUAUAGUUAUCUCCUAAUUUUUCAUACCAACACAAUCAAAUCAAUUAAAACUCAUCUUCAACUUCGUCCUCUUCAAACCCUUCAAGCUCUUCAUACAUUCCGCGCGUGGCAGGGAAGUAUUGAUCAGGUUUUUGUUUCUUCCGAAGGAGCUUCAAAACCUUCUUCAUUAAAAUGAUUCCAGCUUCGUCCUCGGUAGAAAAAAGGUCUAUUUUCCUAGUGCUUAGUGAAAUUGAUGCUUAAUAACACGCCAAUACUUUUUGAUUGUGACAUGUAAAAGAACAACGGUAAAUCGUUCCCUAUUAUCGCAAAUCACGUUCAUUAUUGUUAUAUAUACACUUGUGAAUCUAAAUUGUUUAUUA